UGAGAGUGUGUGUGUGUGUGUGUGUGUGUGUGUGUGUGAGUGUGUGAGAGAGAGAGAGAGAGGGAGAGAGAGAGAGUGUGUGUGUGUGUGUGUGUCCGGAUCUUCUCUCACCUGUUCUCCACCUCGACAGGAUCCGAGAGUGGCUCCGUGAAGCCCCGCCCCGCCGGCGUCAAUCUGUGUGUUUCUGAAACGAGCGCACGUGGUUGCCAUGGCGACGCGUCUGCGACACACUCCUCCGACAUCAGCUCGUCCUCCGUUGAUCCUGAUGAUCCACGACGCCUUUGAUCGCUGCUUUGAUGCCACACGCUGACGUGUGAGUCCAGACAACGCCUCGUCACAACCUGGACCUAAAUCUGAGCAGGCUCCGCCUCCCCCGAGGAGCCGCGGCCGAUUGAUUGGCUAAAUAGUGGUCGUCAUGACAGCAGGGGCGGUGUCAGCUCCGCUUAUCAUCCCCAUCAUCCACCUGCAGACACACAGAGCCAAGAACCACAUCGACACCAACACACCUGUGUGCAUCCAGUCAGACACUCCAGAUGUGCUCAUCUUCUACACUCUGGACGGGUCGAACCCGGCGGCGGCGCAGCGGGGGUCAGCCUGCAGCAGCAGGAAGUACAGAGAGCCAAUCCUGCUGCCUGCUGGUCGAGUGUCGCUCAGAGCCGUGGCUGUCUCCAGUGACGGCAGACAAAGUUCCACGGUGACGAAGGCUUUCUCCGUCGACCUCUUGGAAUCAAACGAAAGCAAGCGAGCGGAGGACCACUUCCUGCAGGGCGACGGACAGCAUCUGACUGAGGGAAAGCCCGGUUCUCCUGAGAACUCUGCAGGUUCUACACUGCAUCCAGAGCCGAGCAUGAUGGGAAACAGCUCUUCUCAACCAGGUCCUCGGUUUCUGAACCAUGGACUGGGUUCUCUGAGCACCGCCACGUUCCAGACCGUUUCUGUCCAACGUUCCCCGUCAGCGAGUUCUGGUGUUCUGCAGCAGCCGCCGCCACGGAGCCCAAGAGAGACCCACUUCCUGCGGUGUCCUCAGUGCUUCAGUUUCCGUGCUUCAGACCCGUUUGCUCGGUUCUGUGCUCAGUGUGGAGCUGUGGUUCCUCCGCUACCUCAACAGAGACUGCCCCCUGCUGAGGGAGGACAGGUGUUGUGUGUGUCCUGUAACUCUGUGGUUCCUGUCAACACUCACACCUGUUUGAUCUGUGAAGCCUCAGUCCAACGACAACUGCAACUAGAGGAUCACGUGAUGUGUGCUUGCUGUGGAAGUGGGAAUCCAGCUCACAUCUCCACCUGUCUGACCUGUGAGAGCCGCCUGCAGCCGGAGGUGUGUGUUGGGAACAGCGCCCCCUCUGCUUGUUCAGCAGACAGCAGGAUGUAUAAACGUAUAAACCACAGUGAUGCGGGAUACUGUGACUGGUGUGGCUCCACGGUCGGUCAUGCAGCGACCAGCUGUGCCAUGUGUUGGCGCUGUGGAGCGAGCCGUCACCCGUACGCCUUCUACUGUGCAACCUGUGGGGUUCACUGUGAAGCACCGGCCCCGCCCACAUCCUGCAGUGACAUCACACGAUCUGUCAGCUGUACCGUGCCUCGCCAGGCGUCAGCCACGGCCGCCCCAUCACCUGACCCCGGCCCCGUUGUGAAGUCAGCACCACCCACUGCGGAUCAGUGCACUCAGACUGUUGGACUCUAUUACCCAUCAGCCACUGAGCUCCACAGGAAGGACCAGCAGAGGGCGCUACAGCUCAGCAGACAGCAGUCGACCAGAGACCGACAACCACCUCUGACCGCCAUCAGCCCGGGCAGAGGUUACUGGAGGAAGCAGUUGGAUCACGUGUAUGCUCAUCUGAGGAGCUACGCUCAGAACAACGCCCCCUUCAGGACUCUGCUGGGAGAGCCUCGCCUGGGCCGGAUGGUUUCUGCUGCGAUUCAUGAAGAUGUUCAUGAAGUGAGUCUGACCAUCAGCUUUGUGUCGGUGCCACGGGAAGAACAACAGGUGAGUCCCGACGGUGACGGUGCAGCUCCGGCAGGUAACGGCGUUAGACCAGCAGGCGGCGCUACACCUGCAGGUCAGACUGAGACUCUCAGCAGCGUAACGGAGCGAUUUGCUGACAGCAACCGCCGCCAUACGUAUGGUUCGUACAUACACGGAAGUGGUCGGAACACAGGUCUGAUGAAACCCGCCAAACCAAACCUGACGCCCAAACCUCCAGUGAGACCCUCCCACAGCGGCGUACAGGUGAAGGGCAUUCAGCUGCUGAAGGAACUGGCUCCGGGUCAAGGUGAGAUCAGCGUUGUUCAGCAGCUCCUGGAUCAGGGGGCGGACCCCUCUUGCUGUGGCAGUGACGGCCGACACGCCCUGGCAGUUGCCGUGGUGAACGGCCACCACGAUUUACUUCCUGUUUUGGUGCAGCGAGGAGCUGACGUGGACCAGCAGUCCGGACAGACGAAGAACACAGCUCUGCAUGAGGCUGCAGCUUUGGGCUCGGAGGGUCUGCAGUGUGCUGAGGUCCUGCUCAGCUGUCGGGCUAAUGUGAGGCGGAGGAACGCCGCCGGUCAGACGGCGUACGACGUGGCGGUGAGCUCCGGCUGUAACAACAUGGCGUCUCUGCUGGCGGCUCGGACCGGACUGGACCUGCUGGACAAACUGGGGAAACGAAGUGAACCUAGACGUUUUCUGACCAACACUCUGGACUGAAGGACCCGAAGAUUUCUGAGAAUCCCCUGCAUGAUGGAAAAUAAUAAAGGACGAAAACCACAGACCAAAUAAAGAUGGACGGCAACAUGAAACCAAAUCACCAUGAUCGCCCCCUGGUGUCUGGCUGCAGGCAGGUUGAUUUCAUACGGACUCGUGUCGUCUACAGGUUCCUGUUCCAUCGUGUCUCGACAGGACGAACUUCUGCACAUCAUUCAAAUCCGCGGGAGGCGAUGACACACCUGAAGAACUGCGGCCUGUGUCCGCCGCUUCUAUUUUGAAAAGCCGGUACCGGAUGUAGCCGCCUCGCCGGUUAGUCUGACUGAGCUGAACAACCGUUUUUUCGGCGUUUACGGCUCAAGUCACCGGAGCGACCGGUACCGGUGAGCGUGACGCGGCUGCCGCUUCCCCGUUAACCUCCCGCCCCGCCAGAGUUCCGCCUUCAGCGGUAAAACCAGCCGGUUGUUGUCCCGUGACCUCGCGCUCCGUCUACAUGACCGCCACGGCUCGGCUCGGCUCGGCUCGACUCGACUCGGCCCCGCCCGCUGUA